UUUCUGUUCUGCAGAGGUGACUUCUUGGAACUUAACUGUCAGUUCCAGAUCAUAAAAUGCAUCUGUUGAAGGCGGAGCAUACCUCUGCCAGAAAGGAGGCUGUUGCUUUGAAAGAUUAUCUGGUGCAGAGCUUCUGGGAAUGUUUUAAUUGAAAAUAUCUGACUUUCAGAGAAUGUCCAGAGCUGGAAUCUGCUUUGGCAGCUGAUCUUCUCUAUUUUCAUCAGGAAACAAAUGUGCAAACUUUACAGCUUCUCAGCACUGUAAAUUUGCAGUCUUUUUCUCCUUUGCUUGAAAGUUGCAAUCUGCCAAAUUUCCAUGUCUAUCACUCCAUUCACUGUCCUGAACAUUUCUGUGCAUUGUGGUUUUGCCCAGGAAGAAGAGUAGUGUUGCUUGCAGGGAUGGCUGCAUGAGCUAAUUACCCAAUUGCCAGAGAGAAAUUGUGUGCCUGUAUGUGGAUAUCAAGUGGCUCAUGUGGAACUGACCUGGUAGUCUUUCUGUUCUCACAGAUGUGUGUUCACUAUCACUGUUUCUUCAGAUUCAAAGGUACUGGCUUCAGACAGAAUUACUACUAGGAAAUGUGGAGAAAAUCUACUGGUUUAUAUGAAUAGAAGCUUGGACUCUAGAAAGCCUUGGUUUUUGAAAAUAGUUGCAAAUAACUGAAUGAAGAUAUCAAUGGAGACAGACAGGAAUAAGGUCACAGCACUGUUCCUUUAGUUCCCUACCACCAGGAUACUCAAUAGCCAAAAGCAUUUUCUCUGUCCCAGAAAUUUAUGACAGAUAAUGUAAUAAUCCAAGACAAAUUAGACUUUCCCUGCACAGGAAUACUGGCAUUUGAGAAGAAAGUAAAAAUUGUGUCAUCAAUUGAAAUCAACUGCAGUGUCUGGCACUACUUCUCCCUGUGUAACUUAAUCCAUUGGCUGUCUCAUAAAAUAAAUCAGAUAAAAAAAUUGGGGCCGUGCCCUUGGAGUAAGGCAGCACAGCUCCACUGACUAGGCCAAUUUAGACCAUCUGAGGUUAGUAUUCUUUGAUGCUGAAAUUGUUCACUUGAUUAAUGGACCAACUGUAUAGCUCUUAUCUAACUUGGACUGCAACCAGAGUCUCUUCUGUUGUCAAAUGCUAGUAUGAAGACUACAACCAUAAACCUCUGUAAUUUAACAUGUAAUGAACUGAGAGACAGCACCAUAAUUUUUGCUACCUUGAUAUAUUAUUUAACUAUAUAAUUCAAUGCAAGGCUUUUUUUCCCUGAGUUUUAAAUAAUAUAGGAACAUUAGCUCAAGGAGGAGGAAGUGAAAGGAUCACGUAAUCUGUUAGCAGCAUCUUCAUUUGGACUGCUAAUAGCAAAUACAGGAGCAAAACACUGUUGCUGUUUCAAUAUUAAGUGUACCACUCUGAAAGGGAAAGUCAGGGAAAUGGAAAGUAAUCUUCAAUGGUGUACACUUCUAAAUUACUACAUGUUCUAAUAUAAUGUAUAAAGGGAUUUAUUUGCACUCAUAUAACUGCUUGUAAUAACAGAUUCCUAGAUUGCUACUUUUUAUUUGUUUGGUUAUGGCCUUCUGGUGCUGACUAGUGCUAAUAGCUACGCAGUAGUUUAAAUACAUUACAGCUGUUUUCACUUUCCAUUAAGGUAGUUACUGACAGUUUAAAUGCAUGUCUGAUGGUUUCCCCUUAUGAAUAGCUACCUUCAACAAGGAGUCUAUAUCUGAGCAGCACAAUGUUUCCCAAGCAUUGCAUAACACUGUUUGUUUGACUUCUUAAUUAUUCUGUAAGCACCCAUGGAAUUUCUCAUGAGGUUCAGACAGUAUUACCAAAUAAAAAUUCAAACCUGAUAGUCACCAGGACUACAAGUGAGAAUUAUGUUACUUUUAACAGCUUUAUUAUUUUGAGAACAUAUAAUUUGUUCUAGGUCCCUGUUUGCAAAAUAUGUGAGCCACUUCAAUCCUCAGGUAGUAACCUGGUAUCAUUUUUUUUUUUUAAUCACCUUCUCUUACGAAGAGCUAAAAUAUCUUUUAGAAAGAGGUUUCCACUGGCAAAAUUAAUUUGGCAGAUGUGCAUUACCUAUGUGUGCUAAUAUUAGUGGUCUAAUGCUUCUAGAAGCACAGGUAAUAGGUGCUGUGUAGGGGUAGAUCAUCCAGUUAAUCGGCUUAACCAUAAGUGGUUCUCUUGUUCUAUGACUGAGACAGGUUUUGAGUUUAUUAUAUUAAGAAAUAGAUUUCAAUGUAAAAGCUCUUGAUUUGAGGAUCUUUAUGAGAAAAUUUUGCAUUAAGUCUGGGGCAGUCACAGUGACCGAGUAUGUAGCUGAUCAGAUGUUAAUCCAAAUCAGCAUGCAAAGUGAGUGAAAAAUCAGUUUCCUCCUCCUACUAAUUUCCAUUUCUUUCCUGUCAGCUUUCAAGUCAGAAAAAUUCUCUAGUAUUGCUUGUACUUAUAUUCUGACUGAAUAGUGGCAGUCUGAAGCCUGCUACAAGUGUGCACAUCAGAGGUAAAUUGCCUGAAAACCACAGGAAUGUUUGUAAGCUACAGAUGCAGAUGCUACCAGUUUCCAGAAGUUUUGCAAAGCUCCUUUGCAAAGGAAUUUCUCCUACCUAUUCAAUACUGUUUGUUUCUGGGAUUAAAAUAGGAUCAAAUCAAACACCAGAAAUAGGGUUAUUUUUCAAAGACAAAGAGUGGGUACUGCAAGUCACUUCUAAUAUGGUGGUGAAGCUUCUGCAUCUGCACAUCCCAAGAUCCAAAAUGUAGUGAGGUUGAGUGUGUAUGCCUAACACAUGCAACAGGCACACAAAAACACACAUAAUACAGUGCAUAUAUACUUGCACACAUGGCCAGCCACGUAGCUCACAUCAUUCACACAUUCUGUUUCCUUUCUGGCUCACCAGGGGGUGAGGUGAAGAUUCUUUUUUGGGAAAUGUACUUACAGAGAUAUACCAUCUAGAUGCCUCCAGCAGUGAGACUCAGGCAUUCAGUCUGCUGAGCAGCUGCCCUUGGAUCCCAAUCUUUCCAGUUGCUGGCACAUGGACAUACAAGCCCCUGAGGCCACAGCUCAAGUCCAGCUGCUGGUGCACACACAUGCACACGCACACAGUCAAUUUCCAAGCCCCAAGGUCUCACUGGAAGUUGUCCUGGACCACCUGGUACAAGGUUCCCAUGUACAAUCCCAGU